rnacentral:rRNA from 1 species
GAUGCUAAUACCGGAUAACAACAGAUGAUGCCUAUCAACUGUUUAAAAGAUGGUUCUGCUAUCACUCUUGGAUGGACCUGCGGUGCAUUAGCUAGUUGGUAGGGUAACGGCCUACCAAGGCGAUGAUGCAUAGCCGAGUUGAGAGACUGAUCGGCCACAUUGGGACUGAGACACGGCCCAAACUCCUACGGGAAGCAGCAGCA